GUGCUCACUUCAGCAGCACAUGUGCUAAAAUUGGAAUGACACAAAGAAGAUUAGCAUGGCCGCUGAGCAAGGAUGACACGCACAUUUGUGAAUUGUUCCAUAAAAAA
ensembl:snRNA U6 U6 spliceosomal RNA